AGAGUAGCUAUAUAUUGACAAUGAUACCAAUGCAGGGUGAGCUUACUACAAUAUCUGAUCUUCUUCUAUCAACAACAAAUGUUGUUUUACAUGUAAGAGUAUCAAGGAUGUGGGAAUUCAGAGAGGGAGGAAAUGAAAAAGGGAAUAUAAAGCAUCUUGACUUGGUUCUCAUUGACCAGAAGGGUGAUGCAAUCUAUGCUGAAAUACCACCAGAUGUAAUACCAAUUUUAAAGCCUCAGCUGUGCGAAAAACUAAUCAUUUUCCUUGGCAAGUUUGUGGUUGAAAAAGCUAAACCUGGAUACAAGGUGGUGCAAAACCCAUAUAUGCUGAGGCUGAACAGAAGGACUACCAUUGCCAAAUCAAAUGCUCAUGAUCUGGAAUUUUCAAAGUACACAUUCUCAUUGACUCCAAUUGAAAUAUUGCCACAAUUUGUUAAAAAUAAAGAACGAUUCCUAGAUGUACUUGGAAAAAAUCACCGCUGUCUCAAAUCCUGCAGUAGUGUGUAACACUGCAGGAGACCUCAUGAUGAGAAGAAUAAUAAAGCUGCAGAACCUAAGCUUACCGGUGGACGCAACAACUGUUGAAAAAAUUGAUUUACCAAAUGAAGAUCAGACUCAUGUAGCUUUUGAAGAAAAGAAUCUGUUACAGCUGAACGACAUAGAUCCUUUUACUCAAAAGGGUGAACGAUAUCAAUGCACUAUAACGAUCAUAGGAAUACCAGAUAAACAACAUUGGUGCUAUCGUGCUUGUCGCACAUGCUCAUCAAAAAUGAUUUGAACAUCUGAUGGAUUCCAGUGUACAAAGGAUAGAGGCUGCCCUUCAAAACAAUUUGAAU